rnacentral:rRNA from 1 species
ACAAGGUCUCCGUUGGUGAACCAGCGGAGGGAUCAUUAAAGAGUGUAAUAACUCCCAAACCCAUGUGAACAUACCUCAUGUUGCCUCGGCAGGUCGUGCCUCCCUCGUAGGUCCUACCCUGUAGGCUCCUACCCGGAAGGCGCGGGUACCCCUGCCGGUGGCCCAGGAAACUCUGUCUCAUCGUUGAAUUCUGAACCUAUAACUAAAUAAGUUAAAACUUUCAACAACGGAUCUCUUGGUUCUGGCAUCGAUGAAGAACGCAGCGAAAUGCGAUAAGUAAUGUGAAUUGCAGAAUUCAGUGAAUCAUCGAAUCUUUGAACGCACAUUGCGCCCAUUAGUAUUCUAGUGGGCAUGCCUGUUCGAGCGUCAUUUCAACCCUUAAGCCCUUGUUGCUUAGCGUUGGGAGCCUACGGCACCGUAGCUCCCCAAAGUCAGUGGCGGAGCCGGCUCACACUCUAGACGUAGUAAUUUCUCACCUCGCCUAUAGUUGGACCGGUCCCCUGCCGUAAAACGCCCCAGUAUUUAAAAGGUUGACCUCGAAUCAGGUAGGAAUACCCGCUGAACUUAAGCAUAUCAAUAAGCGGAGGAAAAGAAACCAACAGGGAUUGCCCUAGUAACGGCGAGUGAAGCGGCAACAGCUCAAAUUUGAAAUCUGGCUCUUUAGGGCCCGAGUUGUAAUUUGUAGAGGAUGCUUUUGGCGCGGUGCCUUCCGAGUUCCCUGGAACGGGACGCCUUAGAGGGUGAGAGCCCCGUACGGUUGGACACCAAGCCUCUGUAAAGCUCCUUCGACGAGUCGAGUAGUUUGGGAAUG